UCGAGCGGURARGCCUUUCGGGGUACACGAGCGGCGAACGGGUGAGURACMCGUGGGUGAUCUGCCCUGCACUCUGGGAKAAGCUUGGGARACUGGGUCURAUACCGGAUAUGACURCAGSMUGCAUGUGKUGUGGUGGAAAGAUUUAUCGGUGCAKGAUGGGCCCGCGGCCUAUCAGCUUGUUGGUGGGGUAAUGGCCUACCAAGGCGACGACGGGUAGCCGACCUGAGAGGGUGACCGGCCACACUGGGACUGAGACACGGCCCAGACUCCUACGGGAGGCAGCAGUGGGGAAUAUUGCACAAUGGGCGGAAGCCUGAUGCAGCGACGCCGCGUGAGGGAUGAAGGCCUUCGGGUUGUAAACCUCUUUCAGCAGGGACGAARCGUGAGUGACGGUACCUGCAGAAGAAGCACCGGCUAACUACGUGCCAGCARCCGCGGUAAUACGUAGGGUGCGAGCGUUGUCCGGAAUUACUGGGCGUAAAGAGUUCGUABGCGGUUUGUCGCGUCSUUUGUGAAARCCCGGGGCUCAACUUCGGGCUUGCAGGCGAUACGGGCAGACUUGAGUGUUUCAGGGGAGACUGGAAUUCCUGGUGUAGCGGKGAAAUGCGCASAUAUCAGGAGGAACACCGGUGGCGAAGGCRGGUCUCUGGGAAACAACUGACGCUGARGAACGAAAGCGUGGGUAGCAAACAGGAUUARAUAMCCUGGUAGUCCACGCCGUAAACGGKGGGSGCUAGGUGUGGGUUUCCUUCC
rnacentral:rRNA from 1 species